AGCAGUAUCCUGAGUACGGCGGGACACGUGAAAUCCCGUCGGAAUCUGGGAGGACCAUCUCCCAACCCUAAAUACUCCCUAGUGACCGAUAGUGAACCAGUACCGUGAGGGAAAGGUGAAAAGCACCCCGGGAGGGGAGUGAAAUAGAACCUGAAACCGUGUGCCUACAACAAGUUCGAGCCCGUUAAUGGGUGAGAGCGUGCCUUUUGUAGAAUGAACCGGCGAGUUACGUUAUGAUGCGAGGUUAAGUUGAAGAGACGGAGCCGUAGGGAAACCGAGUCUGAAUAGGGCGCCUUAGUAUCAUGACGUAGACCCGAAACCAUGUGACCUACCCAUGAGCAGGUUGAAGGUGCGGUAAGACGCACUGGAGGACCGAACCAGGGCACGUUGAAAAGUGCUUGGAUGACUUGUGGGUAGCGGAGAAAUUCCAAACGAACUUGGAGAUAGCUGGUUCUCUCCGAAAUAGCUUUAGGGCUAGCGUCGACAUUAGAGAUUCUUGGAGGUAGAGCACUGUUUGGGUGAGGGGUCCAUCCCGGAUUACCAAUCUCAGAUAAACUCCGAAUGCCAAUGAAUUAUGGUCGGCAGUCAGACUGCGAGUGCUAAGAUCCGUAGUCGAAAGGGAAACAGCCCAGACCACCAGCUAAGGUCCCAAAAUAAUUGUUAAGUGGAAAAGGAUGUGGGGUUGCACAGACAACUAGGAUGUUAGCUUAGAAGCAGCUAUUCAUUCAAAGAGUGCGUAAUAGCUCACUAGUCGAGUGACCCUGCGCCGAAAAUGUACCGGGGCUAAAACAAUUUACCGAAGCUGUGGAUACCUUUAUAGGUAUGGUAGGAGAGCGUUCUAUGUGUGAUGAAGGUAUACCGUGAGGAGUGCUGGAACGCAUAGAAGUGAGAAUGCCGGUAUGAGUAGCGAAAGACAGGUGAGAAUCCUGUCCACCGUAAGACUAAGGUUUCCAGGGGAAGGCUCGUCCGCCCUGGGUUAGUCGGGACCUAAGGAGAGACCGAAAGGUGUAUCCGAUGGACAACAGGUUGAUAUUCCUGUACUAGAGUAUGUAGUGAUGGAGGGACGCAGUAGGCUAACUAAAGCAGACGAUUGGAAGAGUCUGUCUAAGCAGUGAGGUGUGAUAUGAGUCAAAUGCUUAUAUCUGUAACAUUGAGCUGUGAUGGGGAGCGAAGUUUAGUAGCGAAGUUAGUGACGUCACACUGCCAAGAAAAGCUUCUAGCGUUUAAACAUACUCUACCCGUACCGCAAACCGACACAGGUAGUCGAGGCGAGUAGCCUCAGGUGAGCGAGAGAACUCUCGUUAAGGAACUCGGCAAAAUGACCCCGUAACUUCGGGAGAAGGGGUGCUGACUUUAAGUCAGCCGCAGUGAAUAGGCCCAAGCAACUGUUUAUCAAAAACACAGCUCUCUGCUAAAUCGUAAGAUGAUGUAUAGGGGGUGACGCCUGCCCGGUGCUGGAAGGUUAAGAGGAGUGCUUAGCGUAAGCGAAGGUAUGAAUUGAAGCCCCAGUAAACGGCGGCCGUAACUAUAACGGUCCUAAGGUAGCGAAAUUCCUUGUCGGGUAAGUUCCGACCCGCACGAAAGGCGUAAUGAUUUGGGCACUGUCUCAACGAGAGACUCGGUGAAAUUUUAGUACCUGUGAAGAUGCAGGUUACCCGCGACAGGACGGAAAGACCCCAUGGAGCUUUACUGCAGUUUGAUAUUGAGUGUCUGUACCACAUGUACAGGAUAGGUAGGAGUCUAAGAGAUCGGGACGCCAGUUUCGAAGGAGACGCUGUUGGGAUACUACCCUUGUGUUAUGGCCACUCUAACCCAGAUAGGUGAUCCCUAUCGGAGACAGUGUCUGACGGGCAGUUUGACUGGGGCGGUCGCCUCCUAAAAGGUAACGGAGGCGCCCAAAGGUUCCCUCAGAAUGGUUGGAAAUCAUUCGCAGAGUGUAAAGGUAUAAGGGAGCUUGACUGCGAGAGCUACAACUCGAGCAGGGACGAAAGUCGGGCUUAGUGAUCCGGUGGUUCCGUAUGGAAGGGCCAUCGCUCAACGGAUAAAAGCUACCCUGGGGAUAACAGGCUUAUCUCCCCCAAGAGUUCACAUCGACGGGGAGGUUUGGCACCUCGAUGUCGGCUCGUCGCAUCCUGGGGCUGUAGUCGGUCCCAAGGGUUGGGCUGUUCGCCCAUUAAAGCGGCACGCGAGCUGGGUUCAGAACGUCGUGAGACAGUUCGGUCCCUAUCCGUCGCGGGCGUAGGAAAUUUGAGAGGAUCUGCUCCUAGUACGAGAGGACCAGAGUGGACUUACCGCUGGUGUACCAGUUGUCUUGCCAAAGGCAUCGCUGGGUAGCUAUGUAGGGAAGGGAUAAACGCUGAAAGCAUCUAAGUGUGAAACCCACCUCAAGAUGAGAUUUCCCAUGAUUAUAUAUCAGUAAGAGCCCUGAGAGAUGAUCAGGUAGAUAGGUUAGAAGUGGAAGUGUGGCGACACAUGUAGCGGACUAAUACUAAUAGCUCGAGGACUUAUCCAA
rnacentral:rRNA from 1 species